AACGACUCUCGGCAACGGAUAUCUUGGCUCUCGCAUCGAUGAAGAACGCAGCAAAAUGCGAUACUUGGUGUGAAUUGCAGAAUCCCGUGAAUCAUCGAGUUUUUGAACGCAAGUUGCGCCCGAAGCCUUCUGGCCGAGGGCACGUCUGCCUGGGUGUCACGC
rnacentral:rRNA from 2 species